rnacentral:rRNA from 1 species
UACGGGGGGAGCAAGCGUUGUUCGGAUUUACUGGGCGUAAAGGGCGCGUAGGCGGCCACCGCAAGUCGACUGUGAAAUCUCCGGGCUUAACCCGGAAAGGUCAGCCGAUACUGCGGGGCUAGAGUGCAGAAGGGGCAACUGGAAUUCCUGGUGUAGCGGUGAAAUGACGCAGAUAUCAGGAGGAACACCGAUGGCGAAGGCGGCUCUCUGGGCCUUACCUGACGCUGAGGAGCGAAAGCGUGGGUAGCGAACAGG